AGGACUAACGCUGGCGGCGUGCCUAACACAUGCAAGUCGAACGAGAGUAGCAAUACUCUAGUGGCAGACGGGUGAGUAACACGUGGUCAACCUACCUCUAUGUGGGGGAUAACUAGCCGAAAGGUUAGCUAAUACCGCAUACGAUCGUCGAGCGGCAUCGCUUGACGAUGAAAGGAGCAAUCCGCAGAGAGACGGGACCGCGUCCCAUUAGCUAGUUGGUGGGGUAAAGGCCUACCAAGGCGACGAUGGGUAGCUGGCUUGAGAGAGCGACCAGCCAUACUGGGACUGAGACACGGCCCAGACUCCUACGGGAGGCAGCAGUGAGGAAUUUUCCGCAAUGGGCGAAAGCCUGACGGAGCGACGCCGCGUGUGGGAAGAAGGCCUUCGGGUCGUAAACCACUGUCGAAGGGGAAGAUAUUGACGGUACCUUGGAGGAAGCCCCGGCUAACUACGCGCCAGCAGCCGC
rnacentral:rRNA from 1 species